ACAAAUACCAUUUAUUACAGGCUUGUUAAACAACAUUGGCACACACGUGGACCCAAUCCUACUAAUCCACCGUAUAAAGGAAGGAAUGGAGAUUCCCAAUUUGAGAGAUUCCUUAGUUAAAAUUCUGCAAGAUUAUAACUUGCAGAUUCUGCUUCGGGAAGGCUGCAAGAAAAUCCUCGUAGCUGACUCUUUGUCAUUACUGAAGAAGAUGCACCGAACCCAAAUGAAAUGUGUUCUCGUCAAUGAAGAGAAUAUCUGAAUCGCGCCUCUCUCCCAUCCUCCCAACAGAUGCAGCUAAGCCCUUCAGUGUGGUGGUCUUCCAUUGUCGACACAUGUUCCACAAGGAGUGCCUACCCAUGUCAAGCAUGAACGCUCCUGCACAAUACUGUAACAUCUGCAGUGCUAAGAACCACGGACCUGGAAGUGCCAUCCUGGAGAUGAAGAAGUAGCCCUGCAUGCCUGCCAGCCUGCCCUUUGCCACUCUGCUCCAGGCAGCCAUUGGGCCACAGCGGCGGUGUUGACACCAGUGCUGUUCAGGGCUAAGCUGUGCUCUGCAUCAGUUGCCUCUCUAGACCUACCUUCCAGAAACUUCUUCCUGUCACUGAUGGAGAAGUCAAGGAUAUUCCCAUGCUGUGAAAUACUUGGAUUCAUAAUCAGUGUUUCAUGAUUUGUUUAUUUGAUUCAUUUAGUUAGCAGACGAAAGCCUAAUUCGCAGAAUGGGAAAUGACUUUGCGGCUGAGUCACACCACCAGGCCUGAGGAGCACUACUGAGAGCUGCCUCAGCUGUCUGAGAACAUCACUAGCUGCAGUCAGCCAAAAGCUCUGCUGAAAACAAUCUGGCAUUCCUGGCUUCAUUGUCUAUAUAUCAUCAAUUGUGGUUCGCUCCCUAAUACACAUUUAAUAAAGCAUUGAACACUGCCACUCAUUGAGUGACAAAGGAGAAAAAAAAAAA